rnacentral:lncRNA from 1 species
GUAUUUUGUUUAGAAGUACUAAGUAGUGAUUACAUGCUAUUGGUAGUCUGCUGUAGCCAACUAGCUAGCCAUGUGCUUUUUUCUCUGUGACAAAACAUGAUGACAUUCCAUUUUCAGCUAAAAUGGGAAUUGAUACACAAGCAGCAUAUCAAACUGGGAUAAUGUUUUAGGUUACUCCGGUGUGAUCUCAGAAUGCCAGGAGGAAAGGUCCCAACUGAAAAAUAAAAAAAGGCCAUGAAGGUUCUACAUACCAAACUCUAUAGUAUGAGGCUGGAAGAAGAGACCAGUAAGCGAUAUACUGCACGGAAAGUCCAGGUAGAUCUGAGAAAAUCAGGAACGACAACUUUCCCCAGGAACCGAAUCACAGAUCAUUGGAUUGGAAAAACGGUGCAUGAUGUCCGAGAGCUCCUUGAGGAAAUUAAUCUGGCACUACAGGAGCUCCCUAAGCAGGAGAGUCAUUGACAUUCUUGGAGAAAAUGACUCUGAUCAAUAAUAGCCCAGUGUAUUUGUUUGCCCAACUCACAUACUUAGAGCCCACUUAACACAUUCCGCUCACGAGUGUGAAAUUCCAGUCCACAAACUGCUUUUGUUGCUCAUUUUGCAGUAAAACUUCAAAAUAUGUCAGUAUAGAACUUUUCUCAAAUCCUUUCAUUUGAGAACCGAAAGUCUUGCCCAAGAAAUUACAUUUGUGUGUGACAUGACAGGUACAGUAGAUUCGGAAAGAAUUCAG